rnacentral:snRNA from 1 species
CUUUUCUCUUUUUGCCUGAAU